CACGUAGGGCGCAAGCGUUGUCCGGAAUUAUUGGGCGUAAAGAGCUCGUAGGCGGUCUGUUGCGUCCGCUGUGAAAACUCGGGGCUUAACCCCGAGCCUGCAGUGGAUACGGGCAGACUAGAGGUAGGUAGGGGAGAAUGGAAUUCCCGGUGUAGCGGUGAAAUGCGCAGAUAUCGGAAGGAACACCGGUGGCGAAAGCGGCGCGCUGGACCUCUACUGACGCUGAGGCGCGAAAGCCAGGGGAGCAAACGGGG
rnacentral:rRNA from 1 species